rnacentral:lncRNA from 1 species
GCCUCAGAGGAGAUGAGGCCACAGUGGCAGUCAAUGAGCAAAGUCAUCAAUAAUUUUAAGGGGAGGAAGACCUUGCCAUCGCACAGAGGUUCAAUGUGACACAUCCUCUGCCACUCCAUCUGUCUCUGCCCCCAUGCUGCUGUCUUCAUUGGCUCCUGCACGCGUCACUCACCUUACUUCAUCACCAGCACCCCAGAGAGGCAUCUCUUCUUGUCCUGAUUUUUGACAAAAAUAGCCAUCAAAGUGAAAAACUAGAAUGAAACUGUGCGCUCUCAUCAGCCCAGCUCUGGGACAUUUGGGGAGGGUGAGUAAAGACAGCAGAGGAACAACUGUA